CUGCUGUGAUGAUACCUCAAGUGUGGUUUCAACUUGCCGAGAAUUGAAUGAGGAUGUUAAAUUCCUUGGCUGUGUCUGAGCAC
rfam:Patagioenas fasciata monilis isolate BTP2013 Sc31e1R_50, whole genome shotgun sequence.